GACGAACGCUGGCGGCGUGCUUAACACAUGCAAGUCGAACGGAAAGGCCCUGCUUUUGUGGGGUGCUCGAGUGGCGAACGGGUGAGUAACACGUGAGUAACCUGCCCUUGACUUUGGGAUAACUUCAGGAAACUGUGGCUAAUACCGGAUAGUAUCUCCUGCUGCAUGGUGGGGGUUGGAAAGUUUCGGCGGUUGGGGUUGGACUCGCGGCUUAUCAGCUUGUUGGUGGGGUAGUGGCUUACCAAGGCUUUGACGGGUAGCCGGCCUGUGAGGGUGACCGGCGACAAUGGGACUGAGAUACGGACCAGAAUGCUACGGGAGGCAGCAGUGGGGAAUAGUGCAAAAUGGGAGGAAGCCUGAUGAAGAAAAGCAGCGUGCGGGAUGACGGCCUUCGGGUUGUAAAAAGAUUUAGAAUGUGAAGAAGAGUGAGUGACGGUAAUGGGUAAAGAAGCAACGGCUAACUACGUG
rnacentral:rRNA from 1 species